rnacentral:misc_RNA from 1 species
GAUGAAGAACGUAGCGAACGUGCGAAACGUAAUGUGAAUUGCAGAAUUCAGUGAAUCAUCGAAUCUUUGAACGCAUCUUGCGCUCCUUGGUAUUCCGAGGAGCAUGCCUGUUUGAGUGUCGUGAAUACUCUCAACUUCAACCCUUUUAUCGGAAAGGGAGGAAGGUUGGACUUGGGUGUUUGUUGAAGUGCGAGCUUCGACUCAUCCUAAAUGCAUUAGCGAUCUGCCUCGAUCACACACAAUGUGAUAAUUAAAACUAAAGCAUUGUUUAAUGAUCAAGUCGAGACUGCUUCUAACUGUCGCAAGACAAUAACGUGCAUACAUUUGUGCAUGUCAUUUGACCUCAAAUCAGGUAGGACUACCCGCUGAACUUAAGCAUAUCAAUAAGCGGAGGA